UACGGGAGGCAGCAGUGGGGAAUAUUGCACAAUGGGCGAAAGCCUGAUGCAGCUAUGCCGCGUGUAUGAGGAAGGCCUUAGGGUUGUAAAGUACUUUCAUCGGGGAGGAAAAAACAAAACUAAUAAUUUUAUUUCUUGACGUUACCCGAAAAAGAAGCACCGGCUAACUCCGUGCCAGCAGCCGCGGUAAUACGGAGGGUGCUAGCGUUAAUCAGAAUUACUGGGCGUAAAGAGCACGUAGGUGGUUUUUUUAAGUCAGAUGUGAAAUCCCUGGGCUUAACCUAGGAACUGCAUUUUGAAACUGAAAUACUAGAGUAUCGUAGAGGGAGGUAGAAUUCUAGGUGUAGCGGUGAAAUGCGUAGAUAUCUGGAGGAAUACCUGUGGCGAAAGCGGCCUCCUAAACGAAUACUGACACUGAGGUGCGAAAGCGUGGGGAGCAAACAGGGAUUAGAUACC
rnacentral:rRNA from 1 species